rnacentral:ncRNA from 2 species
UCGCUCCACGGCGAUGGAUUUCUGCCGGGCCACACGGCCAAACCGCCCAGAGGGCGGAUGAUUCCUACUCGGUU